UCGUGUGGCUUUGAGAAGCUUAGAAAAACAGGUCCUCCCAUAGCUGAGGGGCAAGGAACUACCAUUAAUCAAUGGCUGACUCUGUGCUAGGCCCCCCAGUCUCUGUAGAUUGGAGAAGAAGCUUCUCUGAGGGGCUGACAUCUGAGCUGAGACGGGAAGAAGCUGUCGGGGGAAGAUCAGAGCAACAGCCAGCGUAAAGGCCUGGAGAACUCACUAAGAGCUGAACAGUUAGUUCGAUUCAUCAUGGCAAUGAAAAGAGCAUUGAGUUAUGUAGGAAAACAAUCUAUGUGUGGCUGCCACUUGGAAUU